rnacentral:rRNA from 1 species
GCGUGAGUGAAGAAGGUUUUCGGAUCGUAAAACUCUGUUGUUAGGGAAGAACACGUACGAGAGUAACUGCUCGUACCUUGACGGUACCUAACCAGAAAGCCACGGCUAACUACGUGCCAGCAGCCGCGGUAAUACGUAGGUGGCAAGCGUUGUCCGGAAUUAUUGGGCGUAAAGCGCGCGCAGGUGGUUCUUUAAGUCUGAUGUGAAAGCCCCCGGCUCAACCGGGGAGGGUCAUUGGAAACUGGGGAACUUGAGUGCAGGAGAGGAAAGUGGAAUUCCACGUGUAGCGGUGAAAUGCGUAGAUAUGUGGAGGAACACCAGUGGCGAAGGCGACUUUCUGGCCUGUAACUGACACUGAGGCGCGAAAGCGUGGGGAGCAAACAGGAUUAGAUACCCUGGUAGUCCACGCCGUAAACGAUGAGUGCUAAGUGUUGGGGGGUUUCCGCCCCUCAGUGCUGCAGCUAACGCAUUAA